CCCACCCCUGCCCUAAGCGGGGAAGUGGCUGUGACAGCAGCAGCGGCAGGCGGCUUCGAGGCUGUAGAGGAAAGCCCUACUCCCAAGGGAUUCACCGCGGCUGCCAGGCCCUGAGGUCGAGGGAGGUUCUGAAGACGUGGCCACACCGCGGGGGCUGUGGAUCUGUGCCCUGGCCUGCCUUCUCACCCCUCCCGGAGAAACAGCUGGGCUCCCCUUUCCUGCUAAGGCGGCGACCCAAUCUAAAGUUUCCCUGCUCUCAAAAGACUGCGCCUCCGAAGGUGCUGGAAGGAGGCUGAAGUUCAUUCUUCCACAGAGCCAGGUUUGGUGAUGCAAGUAUUUCUACCUAAUGCCGAUAAAACCUAAGAGCUCCGAAGAGGAUUCUCGCAAACUGGAAGCUGAGAGGUUGAUGAGCAAGAAGGGGAGCUCUAUUGGAGAGAAGCCUGUAGGGCUUUAAGGACUAGGGCUUAGGAGAUGUCCGGAGACAAUGACCACAUCGUGCCAACUGGACUGCCCCGCCCGCUGCUGCCGUAUUUUAAAAUGACAGCCUGGCUGAAAACCAGAUUCUACUUGACCUCCACUUAAUUUUAAUAGCUCGUAGCCAAUUCUUCUCAAAAUAAAGCCACUCCUGCACUCUUGUAUUUGCAUCUUCCACCGUCAAGAAUUUAUCUCUUGGAAACCAAACAUGGGAGAAACUUUACCAAGCGUCCUGUUUUCUAAAUAUUCGAAUUGCAGAGUAUCCCGCAAUUAUCUUUUAGAAGGUGACUGUGGAAAUCUCUAGACAUAUCCAUUUUUAGCUGACUUGAGUUCCCCCUUUCAACCUCAAAAAAUUAUUUUUCCUUUAGCUGAGAAUUAAAUAUAAUAAAAAAGAACGAAUGAUAGGAACCUUUUAUUCCUUUGGAGGCAAGGCUAAGGAAGAUAGGGAGGAGGGAGACGAAGUGGGAGGCUUAUUUCGGAACGGAAAUGUUGAGAGAAAGGAAAGAGUCAGGUGUGGAGAAACAGUUCACCUCUCUGCCUAGCCAGGAUCAUUAGCAAGUGCACCUUUCUCAACCCUUCCAAUCCGCAAGUCAGCCCUGGGCUGCUCUGUGUUGGACCUCCCACCCCCACCCCUGGGGGCUUAGGCAAAGCUCUUGAGCCAGAGUGUUUAGAAGGACGUUUGAAAUGAAUGACCUAGUCAGAGCCAUCUCUGACUUGGGAUCUUGUGAGCAGGGUCACAAGGAAUCAUUCUAGUUGUGAGUAGAAAUUUCUCUUGAACUCAUUCGGAGGUGCCCAGCAUGGAAGUACUUGUUAAAUUGGGCUGGGAUUUACUAACUGAGCCAAAGGUGGUAUCUUUCAAGGAGAAUCAACUCAGAUAAUCUGUGUGUGCAAAGGGUGACAACCUUUUGUAUCUGUUGGGUACAGUUUCUUUCACGUUUUACUUACUGACUGUCCUGUAGUUGCUGAAUAAAGCUGAGUCCUCUAUUUGCACACAAGUCUGAAACAAUGCUGAAUAUCUCAUCGAUGUGACAGUGAUUGUGAUUUACACAGUGUUUUAGCUUGACAUAUUUUCAAACCGUGGUUUUGGUCUUUUAUGUAAAAACAGUUUUACAUAUCCCCUUUAAGGUGAUGUCAAUGUGACAUCAGCUGGGGCCUUGGAAAUGAUGGGUUAAUUAGGAUCUAACUCACUUUGUCUACCUCAGAAACAGGCAAGAUCCCCCAAAACGUUCAUUGAAAACAACAAAUGCCUUUUGCACUUGGAGAUUUCACAAGAGCUUUGCUCUCAGCCUGCAAACUUGGCAUGUUAACAGUUAUUCCUGAGAAGUGCUUAUUAAAAGGAAGAGAAAAAAAACUAGAAAAGGACAGAAAACUCAUACUGGGCACACACUGCAUCUCUGUAAUUAUCCUUACACUUUCAUUGUGCACUGGCAUUUUUUUUUAAGUCAGUUACAAAUACUUAGGGAUCUUAGAUGAGGUUGAGCAUCUUAGAUUUCAUCUUGUUUUGGAUAUUGUACAGGAAUUUCCCAGUUUGGUAUUUCAAAGAGAUAAUUUUAUUACAAUGUAAUAAAACUCUACAUCAGCACCAGUGACUUGAAUCACUCUUGGUUUGCAGACAGCCUUGGUGAUUUUUGAGCAUCUUUGUCCAACUGGUGACAUUCUAAUUCACGAAUCUAAUUGAUUCUACUUUUAUCUUUCUAAAUUUCUCUAUAACAUGGAACUAAAGUUAUACAAUUUGGAAAUUUCAAUCCGGAAGUACAGAGGAAAAAUAUAAAAAGCAUAAGAAACCGAAGGACUCCUCAAAUGAGCAAAUAAAAAUGGAAAUCGGUGUUAAUCAUUAGAAUAUCUGAGAUUUCAUUUGAUAUGAGGAUGGGAUUAAGACUUGUAUAACCUGGCAAGACAUAGAGUCCUACAUUUUCCCUUUGAUUUGAUUUUAUUCUUCUGAGGCUUAUAGUAAGUGCAGCUUGGAAAGUUGGUAUGGAAUGUCACUGCUGGUUGACCUGAUUAAAUCCAUACUCCCUAACUCCUUAGUUAUUUUCAAGUUGCUCUGAUAAGUGAAGAAAACCCCCUAUGAAAUGCAAAACUCCUGGGGACGUCUUACCACGAUGCCAGUCCUGCUGUAUACUAUUUACGUGUCUUAAGCCAUCUGAAGCACAGCUAUUUAAGCAGCAAUCAGACAAUUUAUGCUUUUUUUUUUCAACUUAGUUUUCCUUUUUGGUUACCCACAACUUUUACCUAUCUUCUCCUUGGACUUCCCCCACCAACACAUGGCUUUUCCUGAACGCUUAAAUCCCAUUCACAUUAUUGGAUUUGGUUCUUCCUGAAGAAAACAUGUUGUUUUUGCCAGUGACCACAAGAGGACACAAUUUCCCAGCAACUUUGCCUAAAGUUUACAGAAGGAAGAAUAACACCAUAGCAAAAUAAGCAAUCAAUGAAUGCCAUUUUAGAGAUGUCUAGUUAUUCGGUGUCACUUUUCUUUAUUUUUACAAGCAUAAAAAAAAGUUAAUCUUCAACCUUUAGGUGUUUUAUCUAUUCUCCCCUUAUUGUGAAACUUGAAGGAAAUCAAACAUUUAUGGCAAAUAUGAAAACUUUAGUGUUAUUGUUAAGGAAAAAUGUUUAUAUUCGACAGAAUUUGUGCAAAAGCCUUGAUGACCUCUAUUUUUAGAGUAAUGUUUAAUAACCAAAAAGUUUUAAGACUCAC
rnacentral:lncRNA from 1 species